AACAUCAGAGAAGGCCCGUGGCCCGGGAUUUAGGGAAUCGUUCAUCUAGUUGGAAGUACACAAAGUUUCCAGGCCCCCACUAGAGCCAUCAUCUUAGGAACUCUGGGAACCUCAUCUACAAACUCAGGAGAUGCAAAGUGGCUGGAUGGAAAUUCGGAAGCAUUGUUCGACGGCUAAGACUAACGUCUCUGGCUAAUCGAGUUAUUAUUAGCCUCGGGAGCGUGGAAACUGAACUGUCACUGCUGAAAGAGAAAAUGUAAGCGACAGCUGUCCCUCUUCGGGCUUUGGCUAGCUUUCAGGCCAGGAUCCUCAAGCUCCCGAGCCUACUGCUGCUCCCAUUCCUGUGUGGGCUCUUUCCCACCCCCCCACCCCACCCCAAGCCGUGUAGGACAAGGAGUCUAGUCCUGGAUCCUAGCUGGUCCGCAGGGACACCUUCUGCAGGGCCUUAGAAAUCUGGGCUGAAAAUACUAGUUGUUGAAAAUAUUCUGAAGCCGCUAAACCGAGUUAUGAGAGUAGUGUUUGUGAGUGUGCUUACAGGAUUUUGACAACAGCUGUUCCCCCGGGCUGUUUUGCACUGUUGAAAUCUUGGCACUUAAUACAAAAUGUGAAGCUGUUUUCUCCCUCUUAGGGUUCUGUUAAAAUAUACACAUUGACAUCCGCCUUGA
rnacentral:lncRNA from 1 species